ACUCCUACGGGAGGCAGCAGUAGGGAAUAUUGGUCAAUGGGUGAGAGCCUGAACCAGCCAUGCCGCGUGCAGGAAGACGGCCUUCUGGGUUGUAAACUGCUUUUACCAGGGGAUAAAACGACUCUGCGGAGUUAAUUGAAGGUACCUGGAGAAUAAGCACCGGCUAACUACGUGCCAGCAGCCGCGGUAAUACGGAGGGUGCGAGCGUUAAUCGGAAUUACUGGCGUAAAGCGCGUGUAGGUGGCUUGUUAAG
rnacentral:rRNA from 1 species